AGAAUGCUGGCUGUGCGAGUCUCCCAAGGUGCGAGCUUUCUUUCUCUCUGAAUUAGGAGGUGAAACCAUUUGGAAGAGCCAUUGUAAAGGGGAGGGCUUUGGGCUGUGCAUACUCCUCAUAUCCAGGUGAGUUCAUUUUUCUUGUGAACUUUUCACCUAGGCCCCAAUUAGUAUCCUAUUAACCUCCUUAAAUAUGGAAUUGCUAAGAUCUUAGAAUACUCCAGAAUGGACUAUUAGCCAGCCCAUUUCCUGGCUCCAUCAGAUGAAAAUGCCAAAGUAGGUCAUACAACAGAAUUAUCUUGAUUAAUUUCAGCUCUCUUGCAUGGGCCAUGAUGUCAUGCAAGUUAAAGGAGAUUCAAAUUUAAUGCAUCAUUUCAAUGACUGAUUAAACAUGGGAUUUUCUGAAAAACAUUUACAAUUCCAGGUUUAUAAGGAUUCUCCUUCUUUAAUAUGACAAACAUUUCAAAUGUGCUAAAUUGAUCAAUUAUACAAAUGAUAAAUUCCCUUGAAUAUACUUUUUCAUGUUCAUGUUCUCCAGGGCCUAAUAUGGAAAAAGGUUUAUUAUCCCCAGUAACUACUAUGUUAGAUGAAAAGCUCUCAGCAUUGUGCCCCUUUCCUAUCCAUGGAUGCAGGCUAUUAAAAAACAAAACAAAACAAAAAAACACUAUGAAGAUGCCACAUCUACUCCAGAAGCCUACUCAGAAUGGCAUUUCCAAAUAUAAAUGGCUUUGCUAAGGCUAAAAAAAGCAUCAAACUUUACAUCCUUUAUCAUACAUUCCUAAAGGACUCCCUUGAAAAAAGCACUUAAAAACAUUGUAUCUUGGAACAUCUCAUAUAUUGGUGCAAUUUAUUUACAAGAGUCAGAUUUAAUUUGUUUUCAUGUAUAAAGCAGCUUUAGGGACUUAUUAGCAAUUUCAAAUGUUACAGGAAAAUAUGCUGAAUCUAAAGUUCAUUAUCACAAGUAAGCUUAUUUAAGUGAGAUUAUUUGUUUCUUAAAAUGUACAAGAUAGCUAGUUCUUUAAAAGGCUUCUGUUGCAUCAUUUCACUUAGAAAUAAAGCUUUUGGAUGCAGCUGUUAUGCUCUAAAGUCAGGGUUGUGUCUGUUUUGUGUUUAUAAGUAACAUGGACACAGCCUGCUACUAUAAACACUGAACCCGGCUUAACAUGUUCCUGUCUUUUCCAGAUGAAAAUGCAACUUACUUUCGUGAUUUAGGUUAUGAAACUUUAAAACCAUGUCACAUUUUAAUAUGCAGGGGUUCCUUCCUGUAAUAACCUGCAAUGUAUAUUCAUGUUUGCAAUUUCUAGCAAGAAGUAAAAUAACUGAUAGCUUUUAUGAAGCAUCUUUGAACUUUGCAAGUUCCACUUGUCUGAAUCAGAGCUUCACAGACACCCACUUAGCACAGACUGGGUUGUGCCAGGGCUAGAGUAACUGCCUGCCAAAGGGAUCCUGGCCACCCCUCCUCUUCUUUCUGAUCAGUCCACUGAUCACUAAGAAACCAGUGGUGAGCUGCUUACCUUUUAGAAUAUGAAUAAAUAAAGAGCUUGCCAUGAUCAAAGAGACUGAAAGCUUCAGAUGGAUGUUUAUGCUACUGAGCCAAAUGUAAUGUUCACAAAAAUUAGGGAGCUUCAGGACCCCGUAUCUCUACUCUCUGAAAUUCAACUUUUCUCAGAUUUAAAACAGAGGGAUUCAGCUUUUCUAGAAUCUAUGUGUCAAAGUGGACUUAUCUGUCAUCAGAGAAAUUCCAUCCUCAUAUUCUAACAUCAGAUUAUUCCAAUACAUGUUCUAUUCAUCGGUCGCCUUAGUUAGAAAAUUAGGCAAAAUUCUAAGGCAUCUUUAUGCGGUGACAUAAAAAAAAAUGUAUUUUGGUAGUAGUUGCUAGAAAAAUAUCAUACUUCAGGACUUUAGUCACUUUUUUCUCCAUCUGAGAAUUUAUGAGAGUCCCUUUAACUCACUUAUGUAUGUUUGAAGUAUCUUUAUUUAUUUAUACACUUUCCAAGCAAUGUAACUUAUGUGUUGUAUGAUUAAAAUGUAGAAAUGAAAACUCAGGCUGGGCACGGUGGCUCACGCCUGUAAUUGCAGCACUCUGGGAGGCAGAGGUAGGUGGAUCACCUGAGGUCAGGAGUUCGAGACCAGCCUGGCCAACAUGGCGAAACCCCAUCUCUACUAAAAACACAAAAAAUAGUCGGGCAUGUUGGUGAGCGCCUGUAAUCCCAGCUACUCCAGAGGCUGAGGCAGGAGUAUUACUUGAACUUGGGAGGCGGAGGUUGCAGUGAGCCGAGAUUGGCCACUGCACUUCAGCCUGCGUGACAGAGGGAGACAUUGUCUCAAAAAAAAAAAGAAAAAGAAAAAGAAAAAAAGAAAGAA
rnacentral:lncRNA from 1 species